ACAGGCCGAGUACAAUGGCCGAGU
rnacentral:siRNA from 1 species